rnacentral:rRNA from 1 species
UAGGGAAUCUUCCACAAUGGACGCAAGUCUGAUGGAGCAACGCCGCGUGAGUGAAGAAGGGUUUCGGCUCGUAAAGCUCUGUUGGUAGUGAAGAAAGAUAGAGGUAGUAACUGGCCUUUAUUUGACGGUAAUUACUUAGAAAGUCACGGCUAACUACGUGCCAGCAGCCGCGGUAAUACGUAGGUGGCAAGCGUUGUCCGGAUUUAUUGGGCGUAAAGCGAGUGCAGGCGGUUCAAUAAGUCUGAUGUGAAAGCCUUCGGCUCAACCGGAGAAUUGCAUCAGAAACUGUUGAACUUGAGUGCAGAAGAGGAGAGUGGAACUCCAUGUGUAGCGGUGGAAUGUGUAGAUAUAUGGAAGAACACCAGUGGCGAAGGCGGCUCUCUGGUCUGCAACUGACGCUGAGGCUCGAAAGCAUGGGUAGCGAACAGGAUUAGAUACCCUGGUAGUCCAUGCCGUAAACGAUGAGUGCUAAGUGUUGGGAGGUUUCCGCCUCUCAGUGCUGCAGCUAACGCAUUAAGCACUCCGCCUGGGGAGUACGACCGCAAGGUUG